ACGUCCACAGAAUGCCUCUUUCCUCGUGAGCAAUUGCAAUUGCACGGGAAUGAAGGGGCAUGCACAAAAAUUUGUGGAUAGAACGCGCAUUGGUAUUCCCGUGUCUACAUGUUGCCUGAUUGCGCAAGCAGUCUGCCAUGGAUCCCACAGUUUGUUAGGGUGCUUGUGCUGCGUUUAUUGUGAUGAAAAGACGACAAGAAGGAAACACAAAGGCGACUAUAGAAAUGGUUCAACCUGACAUUCUACAGUGAAUAAUGGUCUUACAACAACAGCUAUCCAGCACUUAUGAGUUGUUGCUGGAAUGGAUGUCCACUCUUGAACCACAAUAGGAAACCACCCAAGAAAACUUUAAGAUCUUGCCACCAUCAUUUCUACCUUCCAACCAGAAUAGAGAAGCCUCGCCAAAUUAUAUUUCCCGACUGAAGGAACUUUCCAUCACGCACUGAUUAUCAGGCUCACAUGACUUCGUUGCAGCCAGCUAUCUUGGGGGCCUGCAGUUGCAGCCGGCAGCCAUCCCUGACUUCAUUUUCAGCAGCUGAACCCAACUGCAGCCAUCAACGAUGCCCAGAUGGAAAUGGACAUCCCUCCUCAUCCUACUCAGAAAGAGACAGAAGCUGAUGAGGCAAAUAGCUUGUCUGAUACCACCCGCCCCCCCCCCCCCCCCCCCACACACACACACACACUGAGGUUUUGGGUACAGUUUUCCCUGGUACCACAGGCAAAUGUAAUGGGGGAUCAAUGCAUGUGCACCUAUCAGAAAUGAUGUUGGCAAGCAUGGAAGCAAAGGCAUCCCAUGCCAAUGGAGGGAUGCUGUAUCUACUCUCAGAUAUGGUACACAAAGAUAUCCACACAGGCUGCAUAACUCUAGGCUAGCCUCCAGUGUGGCAUCUCACAUUUGUAAUGAGUCAAUGAGUUGCCACAUAUGUUGUGCACGUGACAGGAACCUUAUUACCCUUCCACCACUAGCCUGCUCUGUCUGCCGAUAGUUAGGUCUGAUGUCAUAGAUGACACCUGCCAAGUAGUUAGCAGAUGAACAUUCCUGUGCCGCUGCACAGCUUCACUUGUCAGUUGCCGAACAGUUCCGGGUGCAGUUAUUGAGUCACCAGCAGUUACCUACAAGUACUGUCAUGCUGCCGCAAUAAUCGCUGAGUGUAAUUGCAGCGGUUUGCUUCCUACUACCUUUGUGUUGGACAGGAGACUUAUUUGGCGAAUAAAACAUUUGCUAAAACCUGUCAGCUGUUGCUGCAUACAACUGGACUUCAAGGCUAGCAAGGAAAAUUGGAGGCAAAGUAUUCUGCCUAUAAUCAAUUUUAAAAGGUGCUGUAAUAAAUGAGUCAUAAUAUGCAAAGGGGAGGACGCAGAGCAGAGAGAAAUAGAAACUUUGGUACUCAUAGCCAGACCACCAUCCUGACUGUGAAACUUUGAAUUAAAUGUAAAAAAAACAGUGAAAAAUUCAGGACGGAAUGUAUCAAUGUUAUGAAAAGUACAGCUGUUACUCAC